CAACAAAAAGUAAAUACGUAGUGGCACAUACGACCGCUGAAUUUCUACAAGUAUCUCCAAUAUUUAAAAGUCCAAAGUAAAAUCACCACUUGUAAAAUGUGUGAAAAGGGCGGUUGAAAAUUCCUCCAGGGCUUGACACAUUCAGAACCCCAUAAUUACACUGUGAAAAAACUCCACAUUAACCUUCAAACUCACUUGAUCCAUCAAACACUAGCAAACCAAAAAUAUCCCUCGAAAAACUCACAAAUCCCAGAUUAAAAUAAUAAUAAUAACCGCACGUCCUGGUUAGUAACCUAGAAAGCGAGCAUUUGGCGAUUACGGGACUCUGUCCAUACGAUUGAAGAAUAAAUUUUCGAGUGGCUCUCAACUACACCCGAAAAAUGAUUAUGGGAGAAUUUGUCCACGGGAUUAUCGAAUCAGCAAAAUUCAACGGAGAAUAAGAGGAAGUAGAGAAGACUUGCAAGGUGAUCAUUAGUUGGUGCUGCGUGAAUUGAUUGGGACACCAAGAAGGUCAGCAGCUGGAGCUUGUCUGGGGUGAGCUGAAGUGAGUCAUAAAUGACACUGUAAGAUGUUGGUGCAACAGUUCCU